AGACAGAAACUAAAAACCGUGAGUUCAGGCAGCUAGAAACCUAAAAUAAAAGAAAACGGAACAACAACAACAACAACGAAAAUAAGGACCUUAAGAAUCUGGGAAGAAUUAGCCACACUCUAAUUUAGGAACAGAGAUGGAUGAAUCCACCUAUGGACAUUUACUGGUCGGCUCCAAGGCUACACAAGCAGCAAGAAGAAAAGGAAAAACUCUGUUUUAUUAAAGCUCCACUUGCCUAUCUACCUUGGUGGAGGGUCAAGAAAAGGUUUAUAACCUAUUUGCAGGUUUUAGGCUCCUGUUUGCAGCACAGAAACCACAGACAAUAGAAAUUCAGACUCAGUGGUGUGGCAGAAGAUAAAAUAAUUUGGGUUAUUUCUGUGAUAACAUGGGCAAUCUGGAAACUACUCCCAUUUGUGAGGGUAAAUCUCUAUUAUGAUACAUGGAAAAUAGGACAGAUGCUAAUUCAGGUAAGAAAAGGUCUUUGUAUUAUACAAAUAUUUACCUUCAGACAGAAAUGUUAAUGAAGAUGGAGAAGGAACAGUUACCAAGAAACUAGGGAUAGUAGGACACAAAAAACCUGGUAACCUGGUAGUGAGUAUGAACCAGUCUGGUGCCUUGCCUCCAGAGGAGCAGCAACUGAGCAGAGCUACUGGACAACCAGCCCUGCACUUCCCUAGAGCACAGACCAGCUCACUAUGCAGCCACCAAGAGAUAAGCACCGAAGGAGAACCUACCAGCCAUGGAUCCUCAGAAAACAGACCAGCUAAGUGCCCAGCCUUCAGGGGACAAGCAGCUGAGUGGGCAUACCAGCCACACAAACUUCUGCAGCCAAGGCCACUGAGGUACUUGCAGGCACCACUGACAUUAACUACAGCUAAAGAAGCUGCAUGGAGACUACACUACUGCAUCCACCCAGAACAAAAACAAAUGUACCUUACCCAACCAACAUGCUAGGACACAUCUGCAGGUGUAAGUCUUUUCCGCUGAAAGUUAUGCUACCAAGUUAGAAAAGGUGAUUAUUCCAUCAGAUGCACAGAUGCCAGUGCAGGGAUACAAGAAACAUAAAAAAGCAAGGGAACAUGACACCACCAAAGAAACACAAUAAUUCUCUAGUAACUGACCCCAAUAAAAAAAUAAAAAUUUAUGAAUUGCCUGAAAAGGAAUUCAAGAUAGUGAGCCUAAGGAAACUUGGUGAGACAUGAAAGAACACAAACGGAUCAUUCAACAAUCGGGAAAAACAGUUCAUGAUCUGAAUGAGAAAUUCAACAAAGAGAGAGAUAUCAUAAAAAAGAACAAAAUAGAAAUCUUGGGGCCAAGAAAUUCAAUGAAUGAAAUAAAAAAACGCAAUUGAGAGCUUCAACAGCAAAAUAGAUCAAACAGAAGAAUUUUUGAACUUGAAAACAGGCCUUUUGAAAUAGUCCAGUCAGAGGUAAAGAAAAAAAAAAAGGAAUGAAGAAGCCUAUGGCAUUUAUGGGACACCAUAAGUGAACAAAUGUUUGCAUUUUGGCAACUUAAGAAGAAGAGAUGAAGAAAGGCAAAGAAAGCUUAUUUAACAAAGUAAUAGUUGAAAACUUCCCAAGUCUUGGGGAGAUAUGGACAUCCAGAUCCAUGAAGUUCAAAGGAUCCCACAAAGAUUCAACUCAAAGAGGUCCUCUCUGAGGCAUAUAACCAAACUGUCAAAAGUCAAAGACAAAGAAAAAAAUACUAAAAGCAGCAUGAGAAAAACAUCAAGUCACAUAUAAGGGAAUUGCCAUUGGACUAUUAGCAGAUUUCCCAGCAGCAACCUUGCAGGCCAGGAGAGAAUGGGAUGAUAUAUUUAAAAUACUAGAAGAAAAAAAGCUGCUAGCCUAGAAUACUAUACCAGCAAAUCUUUGCUUCAGAAAUGAAGGAGAAAUAGUCUUUCCCAGAUCAGCAAAAGUUGAGGGAACUCAUUACCACUGGACCAGACUUACAAGAAAUGCUUGAGUAUUUCUAUUGGAAAAAAAAGUUUUCAUGAUAAUUGCUACCAUAAAAAAACAUGAAGUAUAAAUCUCACUGCUGGAGAUAAAUGCAUUAUCAAAUUCAUAAUGCUUCAUUACUGCAAUGGUGAUAUGUAAUGUUUCAAACCUCUAGUAUGAAGGUUAAAGGCCAAAACAGCUGGGUGCUGUGGCAUGUGCUUGUAGUCCCAGUUAUUUAGGAGGCUGAAAUGGAAGGCUCAUUUGAGCCCAGGGGUUUGAGUCCAACCUGGGCAACAUAAUGAGACCCCAUUUAAAAAAUAAUAAUAAUUAAAAAAAUGCAGCUCUGUGGGAUGCCAAAAAGUGAAAAUUGUAAUAAUGAUUAUAGCAAUGAUAAGUUGUUAAGGAAUAAACAAUAUAUAAAGAUGUAUAUUAAAGCAACAAAAUUAUAAAUUUGGGUGCAGAAUGAAAGUCUAGAGUAUUGGUAUGCAAUGAAAGUUAACUUGUUAUCAGCUUAAAAUAGUCUAUUAUAAGUAUGAGAGAUUUUUAAUGUAACCCCAAUACUAAUCACAAAGAAAAAAUUACAACAGAUAUACAAAUGAGAAAGAGAAAGGAAUCAAAGCUUAACACAACAAAUACCCUAAUCAAGCCACAGAGAUAAACAUGAGAGAGGAAGAAAGGAACAAAGGAUAAACAAAACAACCAGAAAAUAAUGAACAAAAUGGCAGAAGUCCUUACCUAUCAAUAAUAACUUUGAAUGUAAAUGAAAUAAAUUCCCAAUUAAAACAUACGCCGUGGCUGAAUGGAUUAAAUUAAAAAAAAAAAAAAACAAGAUUCAGCAACAUGCUGCCUACCAGAUAGGCACUUCACCUAUAAGGCCACACAUAGACUGAAGUGAAAGAAGAGAAAAUGAAAUUCUGUGAAAAUGGAAACCAAAACAAAGCAGGGGUAGUAAUACUUACAUCAGACAAAAUAGACUUUAAGUAAAAAACUGUCAAAAGAGAAAAGAAGGUCAUUAUAUAAAGAAAGAUAAAGAAAUCAGUUCAGCAGAAGGUUAGGACAGUUGUCAGUAUAUGAGCACACAACACCAGAACACCCAAUAUAUAAAGUAAAUAUAUAAAGCAAAUAUUAUGAGAUCUAAAGGGAGAGAAAAAUUAAAAUAAAAUAAAAAAGGACUUUAGCACCCUCUUUCAGCAAUGGAUGGAUCAUCUAGAUAGAAAAUCAACAAAGAAUUAUCAGAUUUAAAUUACAUUCUAGACCAAAUAGCCCCAGCAGAUAUUUAUAAAACAUUCCCCUCAAUAACUACUGAAUGUACAUUUUGCUCAACAGCACAUGGAACUUUUCUCCACGAUAGAAUAUAUGUUAGUCCACAAAACAUAUCUCAAGCAAUCAAAAAAAUCAAAAUCUUAUCAAGUAUCUUCUCUUACCACAAUGCAAUAAAAACUAGAAAUGAAUACCAAGAGGAACUAUGGAACAUAUACGAAUAUGUGAAAACUAAAAACAAGUUUUUACAAAACCAGGGCAUCAAUAAAGAAAUUAAAAAGAAAAUUUAAAAAUUCCUUGAGACAAAUAAAAGGAAACAUAAUGUACCAAGACCUAUGGGAUACAGCAAAAGCUAUUCUAAGAGGGAGUUUAUAGCAAUAGAUGCCUACAUCAAAAAAGUAUAAGAAUCUUUUAUAAAAACUUUAUGUGGCACCUCAAGGAAUGAGAAAAACGAGGGCCAGCUGAACCCUAAACUACUAGAAGAGAAGACUGAUAAAGAUCAAGCAGAAAUAAGUGAAAUAGAGCCUGAAAAUAAUAUAAAAAUCAGUAGAACAAAAAGUUGGUCCUUUGAAAGAUAAACAAAUGUUUUAGCUAGACUAACAAAAAAGAGAAGACUCAAAUAAAUAUAAUCAGAGCUAAAAAAGGAGAUGUCACAGAAAUACAAAGGAUCAUAGAAGACUUUUAUGAGCAAUUAUAUGCCAAUAAACUGGAAAACCUAAAAGAAAUAAAUAAAUUCCUGGACACAUGCAACCUACCAAAGUUGAACUACUAUGAAGAAAUAAAAUACCUACACAGGCCAAUAAUGUGUAACAAGAAUGAAUCAGUAAUAAUAAGUCUCCCGUCAAAGAAAAGCCCAGGAACUGAUGACUUUACUGCUAAGUUCUACCAAACAUGUAAAUAAUAAUAUCACUUCUUUUCAAACUAUUCUAAAAAGUUGAAGAGGUGCAAAUUCUUCCACACUCAUUCUAUGAGGCCAACAUUAUCAAAACCAGACAAGGAUAACUUGAUAAAAAGAAAACUACAGGCCAAUCUCCUUUAUCAACAUAGAUGCAAAAAUCUUUAACAAAAUAUAAGUGAAACAAAUUCAACAGCAUAUUGAAAAAAUAAUUCACCACAAUCAAGUGAGAUUCAUCCCAGGGAUGCAAGGAUGGUUUAACAUAUGUAAAUCACAAAUGUGAUACAUCACAUUAACAGAAUGAAGGACAAAAAUGACAUAAUCAUUUUAAUAGACAAAGAAAAAAAUUUGAUAAAAUUUAACAUCCCUUCAUGAUAAAAAUUCUCAGCAAAUGAGAUGUAGAAGUAAUAUACCUCAACACAAUAAAGGCCAUAAAUGAGAAGCUCAUAGAUAACAUCAUACUGAAGAAGUUGAAAGCUAUUCCUCUAUGAUCUGCAAUAAGACAAGGAUGCCGCAUUUAUCACUUUUGUUGAACAUACUACUGGAAAUCCAAGCCAGAGCAAUUAGGCAAGAGAAAUGAAAGGCAUCCAAAUAGGAAAGGGGGAAGUCAAAUUGUCCUUGUUUGCAGAUGACAUUAUCUUAUAUAUAGAAAAUCCUAAAGAUUCCACAAAAAACUGUUAGAAUAAAUAAAUUCAAUAAAGUUGCAGGAUACAAACUCAACAUGCAAAAAUCAGUAGUGUUUCUAUAUGCCAGUAGCAAGCUACCUAAAAAAAGAUAUCAAGAAAGCAAUCCACUGACAAUAGCUAUAAAAUAAAUACCCAGGAAUAUAGUUAACAAAGGAGGUGAAACAUCUUGAGUGGAAACUAUAGAAUAUGGAUAAAAUAAAUUGAAGAGGACACAAAUAAAUAGAAAGAUAAUAAUGAAUUGCAAAAAUUAAUAUUGUCAAAAUGUCCAUAUUAUCCAAAGCAAUUUACUAAUUCAAUGCAAUCCCUAUUCUUCACAGAAAUAGAAAAAAAAAUCCUAAAACUUCUAUGGAACCACAAAAGACCCCAAAUAGCCAAAGUAAUCCUUAGCAAAAAUAAAGCUCGAGGCAUCACACUACCUGACUUUAAAAUAUACUAUAAAGCUAUAGUAACCAAAUCAACAUGGUACUGGUAUAAAAAUAGACACAUAGAUAACUGAAACAGAAUACAGAACAGAAAUAAAUCCAUGCACUUACAGCCAACUGAUUUUCAACAAAAGUGUCAGCAACAUGCAUUAGGAAAAGGAGAGGCUUUUCAAUAGAUGGCACUGGGAAAACUGAAUAUCCACAUGUAGAAGAAUAAAAUUAGACCCCUGUCUCUUACCAUAUGUAAAAAUUAGUUCAAAAUUGAUUAAAAACUUUAAUGUAAGACCUGAAACUGUAAGCAUCCUAGAAGAAAACAUGGGAGAAACAAUUCAUGACAUUGGUCUCGGCAAGAAUUUUUUGAAUAAGACCUCAAAAGCAUACAACAAAAGCAAAUAUAGAGAAAUGGUACUAUAUUAAACUAAAAUGCUUCUGUACAGCAAAGGAAACAGAUUGAAGUUAACUUAAGGAAUGGGAGAAAACAUAUGCAAACUAUGCAUCUGACAAGGGGUUAAUGCCUAGAAUAUAUAGAAAAAUAACUCAAUAGCAGAAAAAUAAAUAAUUCCAUUUAAAGAUGGGCAAAAUGCCUAAAUAGACAUUUCUCUAAAGAAGACAUACUAAUGCUUAGCAUCACUAAUCAUCAGGGAAAUGCAAAUAAAACCAUAAUGACAUAUCACCUCAGUCCAGUUAGAAUGGCUAUUAUCAAAAAGACAAAAAAUAACAAAUGUUGGGGUAGAUGUGAAGAAAGAGGAAGUCUCAUAUGCUGUUGUAAAUUAGUCCAGCAAUGAUGGAAAACAGAAUGAAGGUUCCUAAAAAAGUUAAAAAAUAGAAGUACCAUAUGAUCCAGAAUCCCACUACUGAGUAUAUAUCCAAAGGAAAUAAAAUCAGUUAUGUGGAAGAGAUAUCUGCAUUCCCAUGUUUAUUGCAGCAUUAUUCACAGUAGUUGCAUGGAAUCAACCUAAGUGUCCAUCAGUGGAUGAAUGGAUAAAGAAAAUGUGGUGUAUAUAUACAAUGGAAGACUAUUCAACCAUAAAAAGAAAUUUUGUCAUUUGUGGCAACGUAAUUGGGCCCAGAGGACAUUAUGUUAAGUAAAAUAAGCCAGGCAUGUAAAGACGAAUACUGUACAAUCUCACACAAAAGUGGAUUCUAUAAUUUAAAAAGUUGAUUUAAUAGCAGCAGAGCGUAGAAUAGUGGUUGCCAGAGGCUUGGGAGGGUAGUGGGGCAGGGGAGAUGGGGAUAGACUGGUCAACAGGUACAAAGGUUCAGUUAGAUAGGAAUAAGUUCUGGUGUUCUAUUGCACAGUAGGGUGACUAUAGUUAACAAUAUUAUAUUGUAUAUUUCAAAAUAGCUAGAAGAGAGGAUUUUGAAUGUUCUUACCACAAAGGGAUGAUAAAUGUUUGAGGUGAAAAAUAUGCUAAAUACCCUGAUUUGAUCAUCACAAAAUAUAUACGUGUAUCAAAACAUCACACUAUACCCUAUAAAUAUGUACAAUUAUUAUGAGUCAAUUAAAAGUAAAAUAAAACUUAAAAAAAAGAAACUUGGUGGCCUAAAGAUUUCCACUAGAUAGUUGGCUGUUUCUCCCAAGUACAGGGUUAAAAAUAGCUGAAAAGAGGUUACGAUGUUCAGGGAAAGUAGCAAAGAGUACACCAGGGAGACUGACAGAUGGACAGAAAUGCUCUGACACUAGCUGGCCUCAUAUAAGACUAAAACUUAUUAAAGCUGUCAAAUGAAGGGGAGUGCAGGAAAGCUUAGGGCCCUGGAUGGUCCUUCUUGAAAUGUUUCCCAGAACAGGGGCAAACAUCAAAGGCCUUCUUGGAAAAGAAUGAAGUUGGCAAACUUCAUUCAAUGCUGUAUUGGACAUUCCUUCAUUCAACAAAUAUUAAAACCCACUAGAUGGUAAGCUUACUCAGCAGACAUGGUGAGAUCAGCAGUAGGCUUUGUUUUUUGUGGAACACCUAUACAAACAAAAGAAUGUGAAGUGUGUUUUAAUAACUGGAAGAUACUUAAUCUGGUUGGAAAUAGAGACUUGUGGGGAGAUAUCAUGAGCCUGGACACAUCAAGUGGACCUAGAUACUUGAGGACCUUGAAAACCAUUUUAAAGGCUUUAGCUGGGUUGCAUCUUAAUCAAUGUGAAGUCACUGGAAGAUUUUUAUUUGGGUUUAUUAAAAAUUUUUUCAAAGUAAUACAUGCACAAGGUAAAAAAUUAAAUAGUACAGAAGGACUUAAAAUGAAAAAC
rnacentral:lncRNA from 1 species